rnacentral:tRNA from 1 species
GAGUAUAUAGCUCAGUGGUAGAGCACAUGCUUAGUGUGCACAAGGUCCUGGGUUCAAUUCCUAGUACCUCCA